ACUUUUCGUGCCGAACGGCUUGUGGCUUAUUGUCCUUAAUUUUUGUGCGUGAUUUUCCAUCUUUCCCGCUGAUUCUCAACGUAAGAGCACGGGGAAUCGCCUCCACCCUCAGGAACGGCUUUCAAAAGCUACUGGUAAUUGAGACGAGGACGUCACUCUUCGAAGAGAAACUUUCUUCCACCUCUAAUUGCCGUCGUUCGUCAGAAACUGCCCGAGCAGGAAUGAAAACCAGUUUCGUACCUUCUUUGGUUAAUGGGUUUUCUUCCCAGACGAGACUGACUUAA